UAAUUCCGUGCCAGCAGCCGCGGUAAUACGGAAGGUGCAAGCGUUAUCCGGUUUUAUUGGGUUUAAAGGGUGCGUAGGCGGCUUAUUAAGUCAGUUGUGAAAUCCUAGUGCUUAACGCUAGAACUGCAAUUGAUACUACUAGGCUUGAGUUAAGAAGAGGUAGGCAGAAUUUAUGGUGUAGUAGUGAAAUGCUUAGAUAUCAUAAGGAAUACCAAUAGCGUAGGCAGCUUACUGGUCUUUAACUGACGCUGAGGCACGAAAGCGUGGGGAGCAAACAGGAUUAGAUACCCUGGUAGUCCACGCUGUAAACGAUGAUCACUCGAUAUACAUGAUGCUUCAUGUGUGUCUAAG
rnacentral:rRNA from 1 species